rnacentral:rRNA from 1 species
AAUAGAUACCCGGGUAGUCCACGCCGUAAACGAUGAGUGCUAAGUGUUGGGGGGUUUCCGCCCCUCAGUGCUGCAGCUAACGCAUUAAGCGCUCCGCCUGGGGAGUACGGUCGCAAGACUGAAACUCAAAGGAAUUGACGGGGGCCCGCACAAGCGGUGGAGCAUGUGGUUUAAUUCGAAGCAACGCGAAGAACCUUACCAGGUCUUGACAUCCCGGUGACCACUAUGGAGACAUAGUUUCCCCUUCGGGGGCAACGGUGACAGGUGGUGCAUGGUUGUCGUCAGCUCGUGUCGUGAGAUGUUGGGUUAAGUCCCGCAACGAGCGCAACCCUUAUUCUUAGUUGCCAUCAUUCAGUUGGGCACUCUAAGGAGACUGCCGGUGAUAAACCGGAGGAAGGUGGGGAUGACGUCAAAUCAUCAUGCCCCUUAUGACCUGGGCUACACACGUGCUACAAUGGACGGUACAAACGGUUGCAACCCGCAGGGGGGAGCUAAUCCGAUAAAACCGUUCUCAGUUCGGAUUGUAGGCUGCAACUCGCCUACAUGGAACG